AAAAACUAGGUGAUUGCCGGCUAUCACACACAUUUUACUCUCAGAAUUGAGCAGGUGGAGAGACGUUCGUUCAACUAACAUAAAGGGAAAGGGUUGCUGUAGAAACACUUACUUUGGUUUCUCACUAUGUUUCCAAGUGCCAUUUGAUGUUCAUGCAGUUUUCACUGUAAAAGCCAGUUGGAGCUAGUACAUCCCUAUAUAAAUUUACGUUGUGCAAUUUCCCACUGAAGAGAAACUGUGUUCC